rnacentral:rRNA from 1 species
GACGAACCGUGCGAACGUUGUUCGGAAUCACUGGGCUUAAAGGGCGCGUAGGCGGGCUAUCAAGUCUGGGGUGAAAUCCCGCGGCUCAACCGUGGAACUGCCUUAGAUACUGACGGCCUUGAGGAAGGUAGGGGCAUGCGGAACUGUAGGUGGAGCGGUGAAAUGCGUUGAUAUCUACAGGAACUCCGGUGGCGAAAGCGGCGUGCUGGACCUUUUCUGACGCUGAGGCGCGAAAGCUAGGGGAGCAAACGGG